GACGAACGCUGGCGGCGUGCCUAAUACAUGCAAGUCGAGCGGAGCGGCGGACGGGGGAGUAAUGCCGAGGAAUCUGCAUGGGAGUGAGGGAUCCCGUACGGAGACGGGCGCUAAUACCGCAGACUUUCAGCUGAGCCUAGGGCGGAUUAGCUGGUUGGUGGGGUAAAGGCUUACCAAGGCGACGAUCCGUAGCUGGUCUGAGAGGAUGAUCAGUCACACUGGAACUGAGACACGGCCCAGACUCCUACGGGAGGCAGCAGUGGGGAAUAGUGGGCAAUGGGCGAAAGCCUGACCGAGCAAUGCCGCGUGUGUGAAGAAGGUUUUCGGAUCGUAAACCUCUGUUAUUAGGGAGGCGGUAUCUACAGAGUAAGCCACGGCUAACUACGUGCCAGCAGCCGCGGUAAUAC
rnacentral:rRNA from 1 species